UGGGGAAUCUUCCGCAAUGGACGAAAGUCUGACGGAGCAACGCCGCGUGAGUGAAGAAGGUUUUCGGAUCGUAAAACUCUGUCUUUUGGGGCGAACGUGAGUAUGGUGAACAAUCAUAGUCAGUGACGGUACCAAAGGAGGAAGCCACGGCUAACUACGUGCCAGCAGCCGCGGUAAUACGUAGGUGGCAAGCGUUGUCCGGAAUUAUUGGGCGUAAAGAGCGCGUAGGCGGGAUAGUCAGUCUGUUGUAAAGUGCGGGGCUCAACCCCGUGAUCGCAAUGGAAACAGCUAUUCUUGAGUGCAGGAGAGGAAAGUGGAAUUCCCAGUGUAGCGGUGAAAUGCGUAGAUAUUGGGAGGAACACCAGUGGCGAAGGCGACUUUCUGGACUGUGUCUGACGCUGAGGCGCGAAAGCCAGGGGAGCGAACGGGAUUAGAUACCCCGGUAGUCCUGGCCGUAAACGAUGGGUACUAGGUGUGGGAGGUAUCGACCCCUUCCGUGCCGGAGUUAACGCAAUAAGUACCCCGCCUGGGGAGUACGGUCGCAAGACUGAAACUCAAAUGAAUUGGCGGGGUCAUAGCUGUUUCCUG
rnacentral:rRNA from 1 species